GGGCGGUUAGCUCAGCUGGAUAGAGCGUUGGCCUCCGGAGCCAAAGGCCACAGGUUCGAAUCCUGUACCGCCCACCA
rnacentral:tRNA from 1 species